rnacentral:rRNA from 1 species
GUGGGGAAUCUUAGACAAUGGGGGAAACCCUGAUCUAGCCAUGCCGCGUGAGCGAUGAAGGCCUUAGGGUUGUAAAGCUCUUUCAGCUGGGAAGAUAAUGACGGUACCAGCAGAAGAAGCCCCGGCUAACUCCGUGCCAGCAGCCGCGGUAAUACGGAGGGGGCUAGCGUUGUUCGGAAUUACUGGGCGUAAAGCGCGCGUAGGCGGACCAGAAAGUUGGAGGUGAAAUCCCAGGGCUCAACCUUGGAACUGCCUUCAAAACUCCUGGUCUGGAGUUCGAGAGAGGUGAGUGGAACUCCGAGUGUAGAGGUGAAAUUCGUAGAUAUUCGGAAGAACACCAGUGGCGAAGGCGACUCACUGGCCCAAUACUGACGCUGAGGCGCGAAAGCGUGGGGAGCAAACAGGAUUAGAUACCCCAGUAGUCC